rnacentral:rRNA from 1 species
GCAGUCGAACGGCAGCACGGACUUCGGUCUGGUGGCGAGUGGCGAACGGGUGAGUAAUGCAUCGGAACGUGCCCAACUGUGGGGGAUAGCUCGGCGAAAGCCGGAUUAAUACCGCAUACGAUCCACGGAUGAAAGCGGGGGACCUUCGGGCCUCGCGCAGUUGGAGCGGCCGAUGUUAGAUUAGGUAGUUGGUGGGGUAAAGGCUCACCAAGCCGACGAUCUAUAGCUGGUCUGAGAGGACGACCAGCCACACUGGGACUGAGACACGGCCCAGACUCCUACGGGAGGCAGCAGUGGGGAAUUUUGGACAAUGGGCGAAAGCCUGAUCCAGCAAUACCGCGUGCAGGAAGAAGGCCUUCGGGUUGUAAACUGCUUUUGUACGGAACGAAAAGGUCUGGGUUAAUACCCUGGGCUCAUGACGGUACCGUAAGAAUAAGCACCGGCUAACUACGUGCCAGCAGCCGCGGUAAUACGUAGGGUGCAAGCGUUAAUCGGAAUUACUGGGCGUAAAGCGUGCGCAGGCGGUUAUGUAAGACAGGCGUGAAAUCCCC